GAUGAACGCUAGCUACAGGCUUAACACAUGCAAGUCGAGGGGAAACGGCAUCGAAAGCUUCCUUUUGAUGGGCGUCGACCGGCGCACGGGUGAGUAACGCGUAUCCAACCUGCCCAUCACUUGGGAAUAACCUUGCGAAAGUAAGACUAAUGCCCAAUGACAUCCCACGAAGGCAUCCGAAUGGGAUUAAAGAUUUAUCGGUGAUGGAUGGGGAUGCGUCUGAUUAGCUUGUUGGCGGGGUGACGGCCCACCAAGGCAACGAUCAGUAGGGGUUCUGAGAGGAAGGUCCCCCACAUUGGAACUGAGACACGGUCCAAACUCCUACGGGAGGCAGCAGUGAGGAAUAUUGGUCAAUGGGCGAGAGCCUGAACCAGCCAAGUAGCGUGCAGGAUGACGGCCCUAUGGGUUGUAAACUGCUUUUAUAAGGGAAUAAAGUGGGUCACGUGUGACUUUUUGCAUGUACCUUAUGAAUAAGGACCGGCUAAUUCCGUG
rnacentral:rRNA from 1 species